AUAACCUCGGAAAUCGUGGCUAAUACCGGAUACGAGCACUCAUCGCAUGGUGGGUGUUGGAAAGAUUUAUCGGUGGGGGAUGGACUCGCGGCCUAUCAGUUUGUUGGUGAGGUGAUGGCUCACCAAGACGAUGACGGGUAGCCGGCCUGAGAGGGCGACCGGCCACACUGGGACUGAGACACGGCCCAGACUCUACGGGAGGCAGCAGUGGGGAAUAUUGCACAAUGGGCGAAAGCCUGAUGCAGCGACGCCGCGUGRGGGAUGACGGCUUCGGGUUGUAAACCCCUUUCAGUAGGGAAGAAGCGAAAGUGACGGUACCUGCAGAAGAAGCGCCGGCUAAUACGUGCCAGCAGCCGCGGUAAUACGUAGGGCGCAAGCGUURUCCGGAAUUAUUGGGCGUAAAGAGCUUGUAGGUGGCUUGUCGCGUCUGCCGUGAAAACCCGAGGCUCAACCUCGGGCGUGCGGUGGGUACGGGCAGRCUAGAGUGURGUAGGGGAGACUGGAACUCCUGGUGUAGCGGUGAAAUGCGCAGAUAUCAGGAAGAACACCGAUGGCGAAGGCAGGUCUCUGGGCCAUSACUGACACUGAGAAGCGAAAGCAUGGGUAGCGAACAGGAUUAGAUACCCUGGUAGUCCAUGCGUAAACGUUGGGCACUAGGUGUGGGGGGACAUUCCACGUUUUUCCGCGCCG
rnacentral:rRNA from 1 species